AGAAACACACUUUCGAUUCACAAUUGUAUAACCAGCACACUAAAUUUUAACACACAGUUUUUUGAUGAUCAAUCUUCUCGCACGUAUCUACACUCAAAAAACCUUUCACCACAAUAUUGCAUGAAAAUUCCAGUGACAAUAAUUUUUUGGUUGAAAACAUCGUUUUGCAUGAGUCAUGCAACUGUCACAGUGCAUUCAUGUCAAAUCUGCUUGAUUUUCACACAGCUCACACUAAUACAACUAAAUGCCACGUGAAAUCCAUGCCUGAAAAUUUGGAGGCGUGGUUUGCAGUCAGCUGAGUUUUGGUUUGCAUGAUUAUCAUGCGACCUACGCAUGGAAACUGGUAUGGAAAAAAUCCAUACACCUUUUCAUGCAACAUUGUGGUGAAAAUUUGUUUGAGUGAGUGGUGCAUCGGUGGUUGCAUGAAUUUCCUGUCUGCAAAUUUUUGGUUCGGUUGUCGAGGAUUUCAGUCGUCAGUCGUCAGUUUAUUCCCGGCGCUCGACUUAGCAAGAAGUGCGUUUGAAGUGAGUUUGAGUUUUCUUUGAAAGGCAAAGUUCGUGAAUCACUAUCUUUAAAACCGGAUGGGGACAAAAUCCAACAGAACAUGCCAAUGUUGGAACUUUCGGCUGUCAACCAGUUGCCAUCGGGACAGGCAUCGGACUUGGGUGACACAAAGCAUUCGGGACAAGCACCAUUAAAUGUCUCUCCCGUCCGCUGCUGCUGCUGCUGCAAAGUAUUCCACCAAGAAGGACCAGAAGCCUUCUCUGCACCUCAAAGCUCCGCGCCACUCAUCACACAUCUAUCUUCCCUGGGCAGAAGGACUCCGCGACUUAGUGAAAAGGACGAUGACCGGUUGCACGUCGCCGACUUCGAGAAGUUGCUGCAGUUGGCCCAAGUGUGUUUUUUUAGCAGAUUGAUGGAUUUUAAAGUGUUUUAGGUAUUAACUAAGUGUGAUUCGUGAUUAGUUUUGAAACUUUGUAUUGAAAGUUCUAUUUGUUUUGAAAAUAAAAAUUAUGCAA